rnacentral:rRNA from 1 species
CCUACGGGUGGCAACAGUGAGGAAUAUUGGUCAAUGGACGAGAGUCUGAACCAGCCAAGUAGCGUGAAGGAUGACUGCCCUAUGGGUUGUAAACUUCUUUUAUAUGGGAAUAAAAUGUUCCACGUGUGGGAUUUUGUAUGUACCAUAUGAAUAAGGAUCGGCUAACUCCGUGCCAGCAGCCGCGGUAAUACGGAGGAUCCGAGCGUUAUCCGGAUUUAUUGGGUUUAAAGGGAGCGUAGGUGGAGUGUUAAGUCAGUUGUGAAAGUUUGCGGCUCAACCGUAAAAUUGCAGUUGAAACUGGCAGUCUUGAGUACAGUAGAGGUGGGCGGAAUUCGUGGUGUAGCGGUGAAAUGCUUAGAUAUCACGAAGAACUCCGAUUGCGAAGGCAGUUCACUGGACUGCAACUGACACUGAGGCUCGAAAGUGUGGGUAUCAAACAGGAUUAGAUACCCUAGUAGUC